rnacentral:rRNA from 2 species
UGCAAGUCGAGCGAACGGACGAGAAGCUUGCUUCUCUGAUGUUAGCGGCGGACGGGUGAGUAACACGUGGAUAACCUACCUAUAAGACUGGGAUAACUUCGGGAAACCGGAGCUAAUACCGGAUAAUAUUUUGAACCGCAUGGUUCAAAAGUGAAAGACGGUCUUGCUGUCACUUAUAGAUGGAUCCGCGCUGCAUUAGCUAGUUGGUAAGGUAACGGCUUACCAAGGCAACGAUGCAUAGCCGACCUGAGAGGGUGAUCGGCCACACUGGAACUGAGACACGGUCCAGACUCCUACGGGAGGCAGCAGUAGGGAAUCUUCCGCAAUGGGCGAAAGCCUGACGGAGCAACGCCGCGUGAGUGAUGAAGGUCUUCGGAUCGUAAAACUCUGUUAUUAGGGAAGAACAUAUGUGUAAGUAACUGUGCACAUCUUGACGGUACCUAAUCAGAAAGCCACGGCUAACUACGUGCCAGCAGCCGCGGUAAUACGUAGGUGGCAAGCGUUAUCCGGAAUUAUUGGGCGUAAAGCGCGCGUAGGCGGUUUUUUAAGUCUGAUGUGAAAGCCCACGGCUCAACCGUGGAGGGUCAUUGGAAACUGGAAAACUUGAGUGCAGAAGAGGAAAGUGGAAUUCCAUGUGUAGCGGUGAAAUGCGCAGAGAUAUGGAGGAACACCAGUGGCGAAGGCGACUUUCUGGUCUGUAACUGACGCUGAUGUGCGAAAGCGUGGGGAUCAAACAGGAUUAGAUACCCUGGUAGUCCACGCCGUAAACGAUGAGUGCUAAGUGUUAGGGGGUUUCCGCCCCUUAGUGCUGCAGCUAACGCAUUAAGCACUCCGCCUGGGGAGUACGACCGCAAGGUUGAAACUCAAAGGAAUUGACGGGGACCCGCACAAGCGGUGGAGCAUGUGGUUUAAUUCGAAGCAACGCGAAGAACCUUACCAAAUCUUGACAUCCUUUGACAACUCUAGAGAUAGAGCCUUCCCCUUCGGGGGACAAAGUGACAGGUGGUGCAUGGUUGUCGUCAGCUCGUGUCGUGAGAUGUUGGGUUAAGUCCCGCAACGAGCGCAACCCUUAAGCUUAGUUGCCAUCAUUAAGUUGGGCACUCUAAGUUGACUGCCGGUGACAAACCGGAGGAAGGUGGGGAUGACGUCAAAUCAUCAUGCCCCUUAUGAUUUGGGCUACACACGUGCUACAAUGGACAAUACAAAGGGCAGCGAAACCGCGAGGUCAAGCAAAUCCCAUAAAGUUGUUCUCAGUUCGGAUUGUAGUCUGCAACUCGACUACAUGAAGCUGGAAUCGCUAGUAAUCGUAGAUCAGCAUGCUACGGUGAAUACGUUCCCGGGUCUUGUACACACCGCCCGUCACACCACGAGAGUUUGUAACACCCGAAGCCGGUGGAGUAACCUUU